rnacentral:lncRNA from 1 species
UUUUGGUGUAAUAUUAUAUUUUUUUUUCAGAAGUAGUCGGAUAUAUAAUAUAGCUGUAAAAGAUUCAUGUAAGGUAUAAAAUAUAGCUAUAAUUCCGCAGUUAUAAUUAACAAAACGAAUCAAUACACAAAAUGUUAAAAUCAAUGUGUUGUAUAUGAUAUGAUUGGUCCAUAAAAAUAGGAGAAUUAUAAAUCAAUAAAAACGUAAGAAACGAGAGAAAAAUAAGAAGAAGCCAAAAGAAUCAUCAGACAUAAUACAUCACUCUUUUUCGGCAAUAAACAAUUAUACGUGGCAGAUUAUAAAAUAUGUAAACAGAAUUAUGUAAAUUGUGCAAAACUUUACGACUGUGGUGAGGAUAUACUUUGUUGUAAUGUUGUUUAUCUACUUUAUGGCCGAAACAUGUCUUAUAACUAGUCAUAAAUUAGUUAUACAGAAGUAAAGU